GUUACAGUUCGCAGUUAUCCUCUUUCGCGAAUUAGUUUCUUUCAAAACUUAUAAAUUAAAAAUUUGCAAUAUGUUUAACGCAAAAGUUUUUGUUUUCAUCGCUUUUGUUGUAUAUUCUGUACAAGCAGGUCCCACUUGUCCAGCCCGAGACGGGAAAUAUCCAACCUACAUUCCACACGAUGAUUGCACGAAAUUCUAUGAAUGUUCUAAUGGUCAUCCAUAUUUGUUUGACUGCCCCGAUGGACUACAUUUCAACCCUAACAGAAAUGUUUGCGAUUGGCCCUGGCGUGCAGGAUGUAAAGGAGCAAACAAUUAAUUUCAAUUUUUAUUACAAUUAAAAAUUAAUUUAUAUUUAUUUAUUCUAUUACUAUAACUAUUCUGUUGUUUGAGUAUUUAUUAUCUUUUACAGAGAAGUUAUUAAAACAUAUAUGUAAUAUUUAAAACAGAA